rnacentral:lncRNA from 1 species
CAUGUGUGACCACAACAUCUCCUUGCAUGAACACCAAUCUUUCCAGAUUCCCUCUUUUCAUUUUUGCCCUUAUCUUCUCUCUCUUUUUCCACCUCCGACAUGUCCUUCCUCUUUCUCGUUUCAGUUUUCGACAUCGUCACUCACUCACACCUACGUAUGAGUACUUUCCUUGGACCUCCUUCACUGGGACGACGUGAGAAACAUAAAAAGUCAACAUAUAAAAUGGAUAAUAGUGUGGGAAGUGGAUCCUCUCCACCGUUCCCUCUCUCCAGCAACAAUAUCAAUCAUUGGAUUUAGUUAUAUGUCAAUAAAAAAUUGUAUCCAUCCAAUGAAGUGUUGCCAACACAUUAAAUUUUUUUUAAUGUAUAGUACUUUUAUCCUCUAGAUAAUGC